rnacentral:rRNA from 1 species
UACGUAGGGUGCAAGCGUUGUCCGGAAUUAUUGGGCGUAAAGAGCGUGUAGGCGGUCUGGUAGGUCCGUUGUGAAAACUCGAGGCUCAACCUCGAGACGCCGAUGGAAACCCUCAGACUAGAGUCCGGAAGAGGAGAGUGGAAUUCCUGGUGUAGCGGUGAAAUGCGUAGAGAUGUGGAGGAACACCAGUGGCUAAGGCGGCUUUCUGGUCUGUAACUGACGCUGAGGCGCGAAAGCGUGGGGAGCAAACAGG